rnacentral:rRNA from 1 species
UGAGGAAUAUUGCUCAAUGGGCGAAAGCCUGAAGCAGCAACGCCGCGUGCGCGAUGAAGGCCUUCGGGUCGUAAAGCGCUUUUGAGAGGGACGAGAUAGGACGGUACCUCUGGAAUAAGUCACGGCUAACUACGUGCCAGCAGCCGCGGUAAAACGUAGGUGGCAAGCGUUAUCCGGAUUCACUGGGCGUAAAGCGCGUGCAGGUGGCUUCGUAAGUUGGACGUUAAAUCUCCCGGCCUAACCGGGAGGAGUCGUUCAAUACUGCGGGGCUGGAGGGCAGAAGAGGGGGGUGGAAUCGCUGGUGUAGUGGUGAAAUGCGUAGAUAUCAGCAGGAACACCUGUGGCGAAAGCGGCCCCCUGGUCUGCUCCUGACACUCAGACGCGAAAGCUAGGGGAGUGAACGGGAUUAGAAACCCCGGUAAUCCUAGCCGUAAACGAUGGAUGCUAGGUGUGGGUGGUAUUGACCCCAUCCGUGCCGAAGCUAACGCGUUAAGCAUCCCGCU